GUAUUUACCUGACAGGAGAGAGACACUGGCCAGAAACAUGGUUUUCUUGGGGUGAGGUUCAUCCAUUGUACUCUAAGUGUGUUAACUCCUGAAAUUGCCCCAAAUUUAGGAAACUCAACUGUAUAAUUGGGGUAGUGGAGGUACAGUGCACCAUCUUUUG
ensembl:snRNA U1 U1 spliceosomal RNA